GACGAACGCUGGCGGCGUGCUUAACACAUGCAAGUCGAACGGAAAGGCCCUGCUUUUGCGGGGUGCUCGAGUGGCGAACGGGUGAGUAAAACGUGAGUAACCUGCCCUUGACUUUGGGAUAACUUCAGGAAACUGGGGCUAAUACCGGAUAGGAGCUCCUGCUGCAUGGGGGGGGUUGGAAAGUUUCGGCGGUUGGGGAUGGACUGGCGGCUUAUCAGCUUGAUGGUGGGGUAGUGGCUUACCAAGGCUUUGACGGGUAGCCGGCCUGAGAGGGUGACCGGCCACAUGGGGCCUAAGGGACGGACCAGUCUGGUACGGGAGGCAGUAGUGGAGAAUAUUGCGCAAUGGGCGGAAGUCUGUUGUAGCAACGCCGGGUGCGGGAUGACCGCCUUCUGGGUGUAAACCGCUGUGGCAUGUGACGUAGCGUUAGUGACGGUAAUUGGUAAAGAAGCACCGGCUAACUACGUG
rnacentral:rRNA from 1 species